rnacentral:rRNA from 1 species
GGGGAAUAUUGCACAAUGGAGGAAACUCUGAUGCAGCGACGCCGCGUGAGUGAAGAAGUAUUUCGGUAUGUAAAGCUCUAUCAGCAGGGAAGAUAGUGACGGUACCUGACUAAGAAGCACCGGCUAAAUACGUGCCAGCAGCCGCGGUAAUACGUAUGGUGCAAGCGUUAUCCGGAUUUACUGGGUGUAAAGGGAGUGUAGGUGGCAUAGCAAGUCAGAAGUGAAAGCCCGGGGCUCAACCCCGGGACUGCUUUUGAAACUGCUAAGCUAGAGUGCAGGAGAGGUAAGUGGAAUUCCUAGUGUAGCGGUGAAAUGCGUAGAUAUUAGGAGGAACACCAGUGGCGAAGGCGGCUUACUGGACUGUAACUGACACUGAGGCUCGAAAGCGUGAGGAGCAAAC